rnacentral:rRNA from 1 species
CCCCUAGAUGUCCUGGGCCGCACGCGCAAUACAAUGUAAAGUUCAGAAAGCAUAUCCUGUUCCGGAAGGCAAUGGGUAAUCUUUUCAAUAUUUUGCGUGUUAGGGAUCGAUCUUUGCAAUUAUAGAUCUUGAACGAGGAAUACCUAGUAAGUGCAGCUCAUCAGGCUGUACUGAUUACGUCCCUGCCCUUUGUACACACCGCCCGUCGCUCCUACCGAUUUCGAGUGGUCCGGUGAAUCUUUUGGAAUUAGAGUGCAAACUCAAACUAAGAUCGAUAAACCUUAUCACUUAGAGGAAGGAGAAGUCGUAACA